CGCUCCCCCCAGGACCCUCCGCCCACCGCCCACCCAUUGAAGCCGGGCCGCUCCAAGGACGGCGCGGCAGCCGCAGCCACCAACGGACUCUAUUGUCUACACAGAAUGAAGCCUUGAAAGGACCAUAAGAAGAGACAAAACUGGAAAAUUAUGUAUAGUGUCUUGUUCACUAUAUGUUUCUGAACAUGCCAGACCUUCACAAACCAAUGCGUGCUUCUGCUCACUGUACCAACACUGACUUAUUUUUGAGCAGCGUUACAUACAGUCAAGUACUAUUAUGUUUAUUUUUGCCUUGUUUCCAGAUAGUUUUGAAUACUGAAAGUUUAUAAAAGUAACAGUAUUUGUUUGUUUUGCUGGAAUUGUUGUGCACACUGGAGAUGGAAAUUAGAUCAGAGGCAAUGGCAACACUCAAAAGCCUGUCCUCAUCUUAGAAGCUCGCAGCUUGGUACUCCAUCAAGCUGCAAACCUUUGGCUGAAAGUAAGAGUGUCUGAAGCAAACAGCUGUUGUUUCAGAGGUUCUUAAAACUAGACGGGGUGCAACCACAGGAGAGAAAUGCUCAUGUAAUUAACGUGUGUUCUAUUUGCAUCUUUGAGGAUUAUAGAAACCAACCUGUCUGAUACAUCAUGGCAUCCUCACCUUUCUUCUAGGGCUUGGUCUUAGCCCCAGCGGGUGGGGUCACUAACUGACUCAUCAUUCCUCACUUUACUGCCCUGGAAACACAUCUUCAUGACUCUUAUACCUACAGAGUAUUUAGAACAUCUGUUGUCAUCAUUCAAAGCUGCUUAAAAUGCACAGCAUGAGAAGUAAAAACUGGAGUAAGUCUAUAUCCAGACUACUUUGUAGCUGGGAGGCAAGCAUAUUCAAAACAGGUGGUUAUACGGGCAGAUAGCUGUCCUGUUUCUCAGUAUGGUGGCAGUACUUCCCUUGUGACCUGGAGCUGUCUGCCAUUAAAUCUCCUUGUGUUGGAUUGAGCGUGCACAGGUCACUACAAGACAAGCUAGAGUAGAUUUGUGGUUUGUCAGUCAGCUAAUGCACAGUAGCAGCCUAUGAACGGCGUUGGACCUUGCAGUAUGCAGAAGACACCUAUUCCUCAAAGAGAACAGGGUCACAGCAAGCACACAGGCAGUUUCCAUGGAGCAGUGAACCUGCUGUAAAUCCCCACCCAGUCUUGCCUCAUUGCAACACGUAUGUGUAGUCAUACCCAAAGCAAAGGUGAACAAAUAGAGCGAUGAGACGAGCAGAAAAAUCUAAGCCCACAAACAGCACUGAGCAAAGCACCGUGAGCCGCACAGAGCAGGGGUAAAGAAGUUAGGUGUGCCAUAGCUCACACUGUGUGGUGAAACUGAAAUAAAUGGCUUUUGUGUUGAAA